rnacentral:tRNA from 1 species
GGACCGGUCGUCUAGUUUGGUUUGGAUGACGCACUCACACUGCGUAAGGGAAUAAUUCCCCGCAAGGGUCGUGGGUUCAAAUCCCAUCCGGUCCACCA